GCGGAGGGAUCAUUACCGAGUUUACAACUCCCAAACCCCUGUGAACAUACCACUUGUUGCCUCGGCGGAUCAGCCCGCUCCCGGUAAAACGGGACGGCCCGCCAGAGGACCCCUAAACUCUGUUUCUAUAUGUAACUUCUGAGUAAAACCAUAAAUAAAUCAAAACUUUCAACAACGGAUCUCUUGGUUCUGGCAUCGAUGAAGAACGCAGCAAAAUGCGAUAAGUAAUGUGAAUUGCAGAAUUCAGUGAAUCAUCGAAUCUUUGAACGCACAUUGCGCCCGCCAGUAUUCUGGCGGGCAUGCCUGUUCGAGCGUCAUUUCAACCCUCAAGCACAGCUUGGUGUUGGGACUCGUGUUAAUUCGCGUUCCUCAAAUUGAUUGGCGGUCACGUCGAGCUUCCAUAGCGUAGUAGUAAAACCCUCGUUACUGGUAAUCGUCGCGGCCACGCCGUUAAACCCCAACUUCUGAAUGUUGACCUCGGAUCAGGUAGGAAUACCCGCUGAACUUAAGCAUAU
rnacentral:rRNA from 1 species